rnacentral:rRNA from 1 species
UAGCUCACUGGUCGAGUCGGCCUGCGCGGAAGAUGUAACGGGGCUAAACCAUGCACCGAAGCUGCGGCAGCGACACUAUGUGUUGUUGGGUAGGGGAGCGUUCUGUAAGCCUGUGAAGGUGGCCUGUGAGGGUUGCUGGAGGUAUCAGAAGUGCGAAUGCUGACAUAAGUAACGAUAAAGCGGGUGAAAAGCCCGCUCGCCGGAAGACCAAGGGUUCCUGUCCAACGUUAAUCGGGGCAGGGUGAGUCGACCCCUAAGGCGAGGCCGAAAGGCGUAGUCGAUGGGAAACGGGUUAAUAUUCCCGUACUUGGUGUUACUGCGAAGGGGGGACGGAGAAGGCUAUGUUGGCCGGGCGACGGUUGUCCCGGUUUAAGCGUGUAGGUGUGUGUUCCAGGUAAAUCCGGUUCACUUUAACACUGAGGCGUGAUGACGAGGCACUACGGUGCUGAAGCAACAAAUGCCCUGCUUCCAGGAAAAGCCUCUAAGCAUCAGGUAACAUCAAAUCGUACCCCAAACCGACACAGGUGGUCAGGUAGAGAAUACCAAGGCGCUUGAGAGAACUCGGGUGAAGGAACUAGGCAAAAUGGUGCCGUAACUUCGGGAGAAGGCACGCUGACAUGUAGGUGAAGUGAUUUACUCAUGGAGCUGAAGUCAGUCGAAGAUACCAGCUGGCUGCAACUGUUUAUUAAAAACACAGCACUGUGCAAACACGAAAGUGGACGUAUACGGUGUGACGCCUGCCCGGUGCCGGAAGGUUAAUUGAUGGGGUCAGCGCAAGCGAAGCUCCUGAUCGAAGCCCCGGUAAACGGCGGCCGUAACUAUAACGGUCCUAAGGUAGCGAAAUUCCUUGUCGGGUAAGUUCCGACCUGCACGAAUGGCGUAAUGAUGGCCAGGCUGUCUCCACCCGAGACUCAGUGAAAUUGAACUCGCUGUGAAGAUGCAGUGUACCCGCGGCAAGACGGAAAGACCCCGUGAACCUUUACUAUAGCUUGACACUGAACAUUGAGCCUUGAUGUGUAGGAUAGGUGGGAGGCUUUGAAGUGUGGACGCCAGUCUGCAUGGAGCCGACCUUGAAAUACCACCCUUUAAUGUUUGAUGUUCUAACGUGGACCCGUAAUCCGGGUUGCGGACAGUGUCUGGUGGGUAGUUUGACUGGGGCGGUCUCCUCCUAAAGAGUAACGGAGGAGCACGAAGGUUGGCUAAUCCUGGUCGGACAUCAGGAGGUUAGUGCAAUGGCAUAAGCCAGCUUGACUGCGAGCGUGACGGCGCGAGCAGGUGCGAAAGCAGGUCAUAGUGAUCCGGUGGUUCUGAAUGGAAGGGCCAUCGCUCAACGGAUAAAAGGUACUCCGGGGAUAACAGGCUGAUACCGCCCAAGAGUUCAUAUCGACGGCGGUGUUUGGCACCUCGAUGUCGGCUCAUCACAUCCUGGGGCUGAAGUAGGUCCCAAGGGUAUGGCUGUUCGCCAUUUAAAGUGGUACGCGAGCUGGGUUUAGAACGUCGUGAGACAGUUCGGUCCCUAUCUGCCGUGGGCGCUGGAGAACUGAGGGGGGCUGCUCCUAGUACGAGAGGACCGGAGUGGACGCAUCACUGGUGUUCGGGUUGUCAUGCCAAUGGCACUGCCCGGUAGCUAAAUGCGGAAGAGAUAAGUGCUGAAAGCAUCUAAGCACGAAACUUGCCCCGA